rnacentral:rRNA from 1 species
UACAGAGGUCUCAAGCGUUGUUCGGAUUCAUUGGGCGUAAAGGGUGCGUAGGCGGCGCGGUAAGUCGGGUGUGAAAUCUCGGGGCUUAACUCCGAACUGCAUUCGAUACUGCCGUGCUUGAGGACUGGAGAGGAGACUGGAAUUUACGGUGUAGCGGUGAAAUGCGUAGAUAUCGUAAGGAAGACCAGUGGCGAAGGCGGGUCUCUGGACAGUUCCUGACGCUGAGGCACGAAGGCCAGGGAGCAACGGG